AAUUAUACCGUGAAACUGCGAAUGGCUCAUUAAAUCAGUUAUCGUUUAUUUGAUAAUACCUUACUACUUGGAUAACCGUGGUAAUUCUAGAGCUAAUACAUGCUGAAAAUCCCGACUUCGGAAGGGAUGUGUUUAUUAGAUAAAAAACCAAUGCCCUUCGGGGCUUUUUGGUGAUUCAUGAUAACUUUACGGAUCGCAUAGCCUUGCGCUGGCGACGGUUCAUUCAAAUUUCUGCCCUAUCAACUUUCGAUGGUAAGGUAUUGGCUUACCAUGGUUUCAACGGGUAACGGGGAAUUAGGGUUCGAUUCCGGAGAGGGAGCCUGAGAAACGGCUACCACAUCCAAGGAAGGCAGCAGGCGCGCAAAUUACCCAAUCCCGACACGGGGAGGUAGUGACAAUAAAUACUGAUACAGGGCUCUUUUGGGUCUUGUAAUUGGAAUGAGUACAAUUUAAACCUCUUAACGAGGAACAAUUGGAGGGCAAGUCUGGUGCCAGCAGCCGCGGUAAUUCCAGCUCCAAUAGCGUAUAUUAAAGUUGUUGCAGUUAAAAAGCUCGUAGUUGAAACUUGGGCCUGGCUGGCGGGUCCGCCUCACCGCGUGCACUCGUCCGGCCGGGCCUUCCUUCUGAAGAACCUCAUGCCCUUCACUGGGCGUGCUGGGGAAUCAGGACUUUUACUUUGAAAAAAUUAGAGUGUUCAAAGCAGGCCUUUGCUCGAAUACGUUAGCAUGGAAUAAUAAAAUAGGGCGUGCGUUUCUAUUUUGUUGGUUUCUAGAGACGCCGCAAUGAUUAACAGGAACAGUCGGGGGCAUCAGUAUUCAGUUGUCAGAGGUGAAAUUCUUGGAUUUACUGAAGACUAACUACUGCGAAAGCAUUUGCCAAGGAUGUUUUCAUUAAUCAGUGAACGAAAGUUAGGGGAUCGAAGACGAUCAGAUACCGUCGUAGUCUUAACCGUAAACUAUGCCGACUAGGGAUCGGGCGAUGUUCUUUUUCUGACUCGCUCGGCACCUUACGAGAAAUCAAAGUUUU
rnacentral:rRNA from 1 species